rnacentral:rRNA from 1 species
CGGUAAUUCCAGCUCCAAUAGCGUAUACUAAAGUUGUUGCAGUUAAAAAGCUCGUAGUUGGAUUUCUGCGGGGACGGAGCGGCCGGUCGCAACUUGCGACUCGAGCUAGCGCUUUCCCCGCAUCCUGCCGCGAACCGUGCUACCAUUAGUUUGGUGGCGCUGGGGAUCGGCUCGAUUACUUUGAGAAAAAUAGAGUGUUCAAAGCAGGCCACACGCCUUGAAUAAGUUAGCAUGGAAUAAUGACUAAGGACUUCGGUUCUAUUUUGUUGGUGUUCGGGACUGAAGUAAUGAUUGAUAGGGACAGUUGGGGCGGUCUGUAUUCCAAAGCGAGAGGUGAAAUUCUUAGACCUUCGGAAGACAAACAGCUGCGAAAGCGUUCCGCAAGGAUGUUCCCUUUGAUCAAGAACGAAAGUUGGGGGAUCGAAGACGAUCAGAUACCGUCGUAGUCUCAACUAUAAACUAUACCAGCUAGGGAUCGGCCAACGUUUAAUUAAUCGACUUGUCGGCACCUUAUGAGAAAUCAAAGCAUCUGGGUUCCGGGGGGAGUAUGGUCGCAAGGCUGAAACUUAAAGGAAUUGACGGAAGGGCACCACCAGCCGUGGAGCCUGUGGCUUAAUUUGACUCAACACGGGAAAACUUACCAGGUCCAGACAUAGGAAGGAUUGACAGAUUGAUAGCUCUUUCUUGAUUCUGUGGGUGGUGGUGCAUGGCCGUUUUUAGUUGGUGGAGUGAUUUGUCUGCUUAAUUGCGUUAACGAACGAGACCCCAGCCUGCUAAAUAGCGCGGCCGAGCUUUGCUCGGUGCGAGCUUCUUAGAGGGACCAUGAUGCGCGAUAGCACAAGGAAGUUUGGGGCAACAACAGGUCUGUGAUGCCCUUAGAUGUUCUGGGCCGCACACGGGCUACACUGGCGCCUGCAACGAGCGUAUCAGCUGGCCCGAGAGGGUCUUGGCUAAUCUUUUGAACCGGCGCCGUGCUUGGGAUUGACCAUUGCAAUUGUUGGUCAUGCAACGAGGAAUGCCUUGUAAACGCGAGUCAUCAGCUCGCAUUGAAUACGUCCCUGCCCUUUGUACACACCGCCCGUCGCUCCUACCGAUGAAUGUUCCGAUGAAAUUUUCGGAGAGCGCCGGAGAACGGGGCUCUGCCUUGCAGAACUGGAGGCUCAAAGUCACUUAAAUCUGAACAUUUCGAGGAAGGAGAAGUCGUAACAAGGUAACC